GAUGAACGCUGACAGAAUGCUUAACACAUGCAAGUCUUUGGCAAAGCUGUGCUUGCUCCGCCUAGCCAAGGCGGACGGGUGAGUAACGCGUCAGGAACUUGCCCUGCAUUCAGGGCUAACAGACCUAAACGACUGAUAAGCCCUUGCAAGGUCAGGCGGACUCAUGUCUAGCCUGAUGAAAAGAGAUGCUUCAGGAGAGGCUUAGGUCCUGUUAGACUGUUGGUGGGGUAACGGCCCAACAAGGCGAUGAUAGGUAGCCGGCCUGAUAGGGUGGACGGCCACAAGGGGAAUGGGAGGCGGCCCUUACUCCUACGGGAGGCAGGAGUGAAGAAUAUUGGAGAAUGGGGGCAAGCCUGAUGCAGCAAUUCUGUGUGUACAAUGAAGGUUUUAGGAUUGAACAGUGGUGUCAGCAGGGAAGAACGAAAUGACGGUACCUGCAGAAGAAGCGACGGCUAACUACGUG
rnacentral:rRNA from 1 species